UGGGGAAUAUUGGACAAUGGGGGCAACCCUGAUCCAGCCAUGCCGCGUGAGUGAAGAAGGCCUUAGGGUUGUAAAGCUCUUUCAGUCGUGACGAUGAUGACGGUAGCGACAGAAGAAGCCCCGGCUAACUCCGUGCCAGCAGCCGCGGUAAUACGGAGGAUGCAAGCGUUAUCCGGAAUCAUUGGGCGUAAAGCGUCCGCAGGUGGCGCUUCAAGUCUGCUGUCAAAGACCGGAGCUCAACUCUGGAAAGGCAGUGGAAACUGAAGCGCUAGAGGGCGGUAGGGGUAGAGGGAAUUCCCAGUGUAGCGGUGAAAUGCGUAGAGAUUGGGAAGAACAUCGGUGGCGAAAGCGCUCUGCUGGGCCGCAACUGACACUCAGGGACGAAAGCUAGGGGAGCGAAAGGGAUUAGAUACCCCCGUAGUCC
rnacentral:rRNA from 1 species